rnacentral:rRNA from 1 species
CCUACGGGUGGCAGCAGUGGGGAAUCUUGCACAAUGGGCGAAACCCUGAUGCAGCGACGCCGCGUGAGUGAAGAAGUAUCUCGGUACGUAAAGCUCUAUCAGCAGGGAAGAAAAUGACGGUACCUGACUAAGAAGCCCCGGCUAACUACGUGCCAGCAGCCGCGGUAAUACGUAGGGGGCAAGCGUUAUCCGGAUUUACUGGGUGUACAGUGAGCGUAGACGGCAGCACAAGUCUGGAGUGAAAUCCCGGGGCUUAACCCCGGAACUGCUUUGGAAACUGUGCGGCUGGAGUGCAGGAGGGGUAAGGGGAAUUCCGAGUGUAGCGAUGAAAUGCGUAGAUAUUAGGAGGAACACCGGUGGCGAAGGCGGCUUACUGGACUGUAACUGACGUUGAGGCUCGAAAGCGUGGGGAGCAAACAGGAUUAGAUACCCGUGUAGUC